GCCUACGGGCGGCAGCAGUGGGGAAUAUUGGACAAUGGGGGGAACCCUGAUCCAGCCAUGCCGCGUGUGUGAAGAAGGCCCUCGGGUUGUAAAGCACUUUCAGUGAGGAAGAACGCCUGGUGGUUAAUACCCAUCAGGAAAGACAUCACUCACAGAAGAAGCACCGGCUAACUCCGUGCCAGCAGCCGCGGUAAUACGGAGGGUGCGAGCGUUAAUCGGAAUUACUGGGCGUAAAGCGCGCGUAGGUGGCUUGAUAAGCCGGUUGUGAAAGCCCCGGGCUCAACCUGGGAACGGCAUCCGGAACUGUCAAGCUAGAGUGCAGGAGAGGAAGGUAGAAUUCCCGGUGUAGCGGUGAAAUGCGUGGAGAUCGGGAGGAAUACCAGUGGCGAAGGCGGCCUUCUGGACUGACACUGACACUGAGGUGCGAAAGCGUGGGUAGCAAACAGGAUUAGAUACCCCAGUAGUC
rnacentral:rRNA from 1 species